GAUGAACGCUGGCGGCGUGCCUAAUACAUGCAAGUCGAGCGAACGGACGAGAAGCUUGCUUCUCUGAUGUUAGCGGCGGACGGGUGAGUAACACGUGGAUAACCUACCUAUAAGACUGGGAUAACUUCGGGAAACCGGAGCUAAUACCGGAUAAUAUUUUGAACCGCAUGGUUCAAAAGUGAAAGACGGUCUUGCUGUCACUUAUAGAUGGAUCCGCGCUGCAUUAGCUAGUUGGUAGGGUAACGGCUUACCAAGGCAACGAUGCAAAGCCGACCUGAGAGGGUGAUCGGCCACACUGGAACUGAGACACGGUCCAGACUCCUACGGGAGGCAGCAGUAGGGAAUCUUCCGCAAUGGGCGAAAGCCUGACGGAGCAACGCCGCGUGAGUGAUGAAGGUCUUCGGAUCGUAAAACUCUGUUAUUAGGGAAGAACAUAUGUGUAAGUAACUGUGCACAUCUUGACGGUACCUAAUCAGAAAGCCACGGCUAACUACGUG
rnacentral:rRNA from 1 species